rnacentral:lncRNA from 1 species
AUUCAAGGGGAACUUGAACUUGCCUAGAGUUGAGCUCCUAAAAUAUUUUCCAUCUCCCAGAUUACCGCAGUUGACUCAGCUGUCACUCCCAUAAGGCGGACUUUUGACAGGCUCUGGAGAUGUGAGAGGUAAAAGAUUUUACUUCACUUGGAUAGCAACCAAGCCAACCAUAUGGAAAGAAAACUAACCUGCUCAGUGUGAAGUGGACUUUUGGUCAUCUGGCAAAGAAAUACUUUUGGCGCUCCUAGUGGAAGAACUUGCCUUGUCCCAGAUGAGACUUUGGACUUGGACUU